GAUAUCGCAGGUGACCGACGUCGUUAACGUUUGCUCUGGGUAUGCUAGGUGUAGUUCAUAUCCUUCGAUUAGCAAUUAAAAUAACUACUAGUAAUGUUCUAACGAAAUACCAGACUGUGAAGGGACAAAACUAUUAUUCAACAUUCAAAUUACAGGAGGGAGAGAGUUGGCUAUUUUUUCGGUAUUGCUGUUAUCAGUUACUUUAGCUAGUUUCGUCUGUCUUGCUAGUCAGCAGCAUUGAAGGAUGGGGAGACCUGAGACAGAAAAACAAACACACGUACAUAAUCAUCCUUGUAUUAAGUGCAACGGGAGACUCUCUGACAUGUAAGGAGCACGUUGGCUCCUUAAAGAAAAUGAGAACGGCCUCUUCAAAUAACUUUACAUUCUCAUCUGGGAAUGUCCUCCCAAGAAGCACAACAGCAUCAGUCAUUUCAACAAAUGCCCUGAAAACGACAAGUCUUUGUGGCUGUAAAAGAACUCAGGUGACUUUAUUGUGGAGUGACGAGCACAACGUCAGACUUUAACACAGGGAACUGCUAUUCAGUCUGCAACCCCGCUGCCAAAAAUGGUUCAGUCCUUGGCAGUUGGAACAGCUCAGUCCUGUGGGCAGGAGACGAGGAGCUUACAGUCAUAAGGAGCGUUGACAUCCCUGAUCUCUGCUCUGUCAGGCAUACGUCAUGGCUCUCUGGGCAGAGCCUCACACAAGGGCAUAAGUGUACAGUAUGUACUGUACUGAAUGUGUCUAUGUUUUGGCCUGCAGGACAUAGAGGACAUCGGUUUACUAACAAUAUGUUUCCUAUGUAAUGAUGUUGCAAAAUCAAGGUUUCCCAGUAAUAUUCCAUGCAUAUUUAACUAAUAUAAAGAAACAGCUUAAUGAAACUGUGCAGUGACAUAUUGGUAAGUCAAUAUGGUGAUAGCUUUGGCAUUUCAUUUGUGAUUGUGACAGUGUGACUAACUCCCAUGCUAAUCAGCUUGAUGUGCUAACCUCAGCACAUAUUGGUAACAGCAGGUGGCUGAAAGUUUUGGAGCAGAACUUGUGCUUGUGAACUUUCAGGAUUAUGUGCAUCAGUGUACAUACCAUGUGGAAUGUGGCUGUGUGUACAACGAUCUGCACACUGUGACCGACAAAUAUGAAUGCACAGGCCAUUACAGCCCUGUGAUAUUUCUUUCAUG